rnacentral:rRNA from 1 species
AGAGUUUGAUCCUGGCUCAGGAUGAACGCUGGCGGCGUGCCUAAUACAUGCAAGUCGAGCGAACUGAUUAGAAGCUUGCUUCUAUGACGUUAGCGGCGGACGGGUGAGUAACACGUGGGCAACCUGCCUGUAAGACUGGGAUAACUUCGGGAAACCGAAGCUAAUACCGGAUAGGAUCUUCUCCUUCAUGGGAGAUGAUUGAAAGAUGGUUUCGGCUAUCACUUACAGAUGGGCCCGCGGUGCAUUAGCUAGUUGGUGAGGUAACGGCUCACCAAGGCAACGAUGCAUAGCCGACCUGAGAGGGUGAUCGGCCACACUGGGACUGAGACACGGCCCAGACUCCUACGGGAGGCAGCAGUAGGGAAUCUUCCGCAAUGGACGAAAGUCUGACGGAGCAACGCCGCGUGAGUGAUGAAGGCUUUCGGGUCGUAAAACUCUGUUGUUAGGGAAGAACAAGUACGAGAGUAACUGCUUGUACCUGACGG